CUACGCCCACUUGAGUUUUUUUUGUAUUUUCCCCUCAAAUUAGACUGUCAUUCUGUGAGUCCCUACCCGUUUCUGCAUCACAGAAAGAGAAAGAGAGAGAGAGAGAGAGAGAGAGAGAGAGAGAGAGAGAGAGAGAGACGAAGAGGUCUGAACUGUCAAAAUCUCCUUUCUCUCUCAGGGCGUCGUGUUUGUUACACGCGCUGCAGUCUUCAUUUCCCAUCCUACACUCGACUAGAACGGCCCUGCCCUUGCUUCUGCGUUCUCUGUGUCCCCUUUGCGUGUAAGCGUGUGUGUGAGUGUGUAACGUGUGUAUCUCUGCGUUCGUGUUCGUGAGAGAAUUGCAUGCACAACAUCGGGCCUCGUUUCCUCCGUUCACUUCAGUAUUUGUGCGUUCGUGGUCAAGACAACAAGUUCUGGCCGUAGGGAAAAACGGUCACCGAUACACAGGCAUCAGGUUCGUGUGUUGUGUGUGAGUGUGUUCUUUUGCUGGGGCUCCUCCAUUGUUUGUGUAUGUGUGUGUAUGUGUUUGUUGCGUCUUAUUUUUGGGCGUUAAAGAAUUUUUUAAGCUGUCCCCCCUUUUCGUUUGCAACAAAAACUGCAGUUUUGGUUUGACAAAUCAGACUGUUGUUUGGGUGAAAAAAAAAAGGCAAAU